CCUACGGGUGGCAGCAGUGAGGAAUAUUGGUCAAUGGGCGCGAGUCUGAACCAGCCAAGUAGCGUGAAGGAUGACUGCCCUACGGGUUGUAAACUUCUUUUAUAAAGGAAUAAAGUGAGGCACGUGUGCCUUUUUGUAUGUACUUUAUGAAUAAGGAUCGGCUAACUCCGUGCCAGCAGCCGCGGUAAUACGGAGGAUCCGAGCGUUAUCCGGAUUUAUUGGGUUUAAAGGGAGCGUAGAUGGGUUGUUAAGUCAGUUGUGAAAGUUUGCGGCUCAACCGUAAAAUUGGAAUUGAUACUGGCAGUGUUGAGUACCGGAGAGGUCAUCGGAAUUCCUUGUGUAGCGGUGGAAUGGGUAGAUAUAAGGAAGAACACCAGUGGCGAAGGCGGAUGACUGGACGGCAACUGACGGUGAGGCGCGAAAGCGUGGGGAGCAAACAGGAUUAGAUACCCCUGUAGUC
rnacentral:rRNA from 1 species